AAAUUAAAUUUCAAGUUCUAAUGACGUGCAUUUGUGAUAGCUAUACAAAUAAAACAAGUGUAUAUUUAUGAACGUAACGCGAAACCAGAUAGAAGUGAACAAAGGCACGAAAGCGUUGUGACGACUGAAAGUUUUUUAAGUGAAGUGUUUAUUGUUGUUUGGUGUAAUAAUAGCAACCUAACUAUUGGCGGCAUAACAUUGGAAACAACUCCACAACUACUGCUUCAUUGUUACAACUUUCCAGGAUAGCAUUUUAGGAAUUGUUCAAGGUAGGUAAAUAAAUGUUUAUAUCUAAUGAAUUUGAAGUGGAUAUGUGCAGCAACUACUUCAAUUGUCAAUCAAUAAUAUACGAACUUAUUAAUGUAUUUUUUGCCACAUACAUACAUACGUACACAUGUACAACGCAAGCAUUUUAGUGAUAGCCCACAUUAAACGCCUUCUAUCCUUGAGCGUCGUUGAACGGACGAAACGCACCCUUCAAUCAAGAAAUUUUACCAUCAUAGACCAGCGCAUAAAAAGUCCUAAAACAUGAUUGUGAAUGAAAUAGCAGUGGGGUGUUUUAAGCAUGCAAAGUCACGAACGGUGAAAUGAAACUUCCGCCACUAUAUGCCUAUACUUGCGUUUAUUCAAUGCAUGAAACGAAAAAUUUUAUUAUUUAUACAAAUGCGUAGCAUAUCCAUUCCACAUAUUAUUAGUCUAUACUUAUCAUGGUUAAAAAUGUGUUCUUUCUGUGGUUUCAGUCCUUAUAGUAUUAAUAAACAUACAUACACACAUACAUUUGCCCAUAUUCGUACAUAUGUAUGUAUAUAGUAUCACAUUUGUUAAUUAAAUUUUUAUUCUGAAAGUUAAUGAUAUUUAUUUAAUUUCUCAGUAUGCUACAAAGCAUAUUUAUUUUCUAUAUUGGUAGGCAAUAAUUUAGUAUAUAGGCUCGUGCAAUUUAUUAUGUUGUAAAAUUAUCUUUAUUUCGUUUUUCGAAUUUGUACACUGAACAGAUAAUAUUAAGUUUGCCAAGCUUUUAAAUACAUAAAUAUAAAUACAUACAUAUAUAAAACUUUAUAUCAAUAAUAUUUCUAUGCAUCAGUAUUCCAAAAAUAAAGCUACAAACCAAAUAGCACGCACAAGUUAAUUUAAAGACGCGCAAUCAUAUCCUAUCAUAUGUAAAAAGAAAAAAAUUCUGUCAUUAGCAUUCUCGAGGAGUUCACUAAAUGCUUCCAUAAAAAGCAACUGCCUUCUAAACAUAAUAAUUUCUAACCAAUAUACUUUUGUUUAAGCCCGAAGCAAAUCAAACGCUAACGCAACUACCAUUUUCUAUUUAUUGCCUAUGAAGCCUUUUAUUUGCAAGCUGAGUAACUGAAAAGACACCAA